UACGAAGGGGGCGAGCGUUGUUCGGAAUUACUGGGCGUAAAGGGCGCGCAGGCGGCUCUGAAAGUCAGAUGUGAAAGCCCCGGGCUUAACCUGGGAAUUGCAUUUGAUACUCUGGAGCUUGAGUACGGGAGAGGAGAGUGGAAUUCCCAGUGUAGAGGUGAAAUUCGUAGAUAUUGGGAAGAACACCUGUGGCGAAAGCGGCUCACUGGACCACAACUGACGCUGAGGCGCGAAAGCUAGGGA
rnacentral:rRNA from 1 species